rnacentral:rRNA from 1 species
CGGCGGACGGGUGAGUAACACGUGGAUAACCUACCUAUAAGACUGGGAUAACUUCGGGAAACCGGAGCUAAUACCGGAUAAUAUUUUAAACCGCAUGGUUCAAAAGUGAAAGACGGUCUUGCUGUCACUUAUAGAUGGAUCCGCGCUGCAUUAGCUAGUUGGUAAGGUAACGGCUUACCAAGGCAACGAUGCAUAGCCGACCUGAGAGGGUGAUCGGCCACACUGGAACUGAGACACGGUCCAG